rnacentral:rRNA from 1 species
UACGGGGGGGGCAAGCGUUGUUCGGAAUUACUGGGCGUAAAGGGCUCGUAGGCGGCCAACUAAGUCGGAUGUGAAAUCCCCAGGCUUAACUUGGGAACUGCAUCCGAUACUGGAUGGCUUGAAUCCGGGAGAGGGAUGCGGAAUUCCAGGUGUAGCGGUGAAAUGCGUAGAUAUCUGGAGGAACACCGGUGGCGAAGGCGGCAUCCUGGACCGGCAUUGACGCUGAGGCGCGAAAGCCAGGGGAGCAAACGGG